CGCGGGAUGGUGUAACGGUAACAUCGCGGUUUGGUUAUCCGCUGCUGUAGGUUCGAUUCCUGCUCCCGCACCCA
rnacentral:tRNA from 1 species